GACGAACGCUGGCGGCGUGCUUAACACAUGCCAGUCGAACGGAAAGGCCCUGCUUUCAUGGUACUCGAGUGUCGAACGGGGGAGUAACACGUGGGUGUUCCGCCCUGCACUUCUUGAUAUGCCUUCGAAACUGGGUCUAUUAUCGGAGAUGAGCCAUUUUUCGUGUGAUGGUGGGAAAGUUUUUUGGGUGUGGGAUGAGAUCGCGGCCUAUUAGCUUGUUGGUGGGGUAAGGGCCUACCAAGGCGGCGACGGGUAGCCGGGCUGGGGGGGUGGGCGGCCACAUUGGGGCUGAGGAAAGGCCCCGACCCCUAAGGGAGGGAACCGGGGGGAAUAUUGCACAAUGGGGGCGAGCCUGAUGCAGCGAAGCCGGGUGGGGGAUGACGGCCUUCGGGUUGUAAACUCCUUUCGCUAGGGAAGAAGCUUUUUGUGACGGUACCUAGAUAAGAAGCACCGGCUAACUACGUG
rnacentral:rRNA from 1 species